rnacentral:sRNA from 5 species
GCGAGAGAGCGUUGCCGCAGGCAACGACCCGAAGGGCGAAGCGCGCAGCGCUGAGUAAUCCUUCCCCCACCACCA